CCUACGGGUGGCAGCAGUCGAGAAUCAUUCACAAUGGGGGAAACCCUGAUGGUGUGACGCCGCGUGGAGGAUGAAGGUCUUCGGAUUGUAAACUCCUGUCAAGUGGGAGUAAACCUGCGCGUUAACUGCGUCGCAGUUUGAGAGUACCACUAGAGGAAGAGACGGCUAACUCUGUGCCAGCAGCCGCGGUAAUACAGAGGUCUCAGGCGUGGGUCGGAAUCACUGGGAGUAAAGGAUGCAAGUGCGGUGUGAAAUCCCGGGGCUCAACCUCGGAAAGGCAUCGGAUACUGCAUUGCGUGAGGACUGGAGAGGAGUCUGGAAUUCAUGGUGGAGCAGUGAAAUGCGUAGAUAUCAUGAGGAACACUAGUGGCGUAGGCGAGACUCUGGACAGUUCCUGACGCUGAGGCACGAAGGCCAGGGGAGCAAACGGGAUUAGAUACCCUUGUAGUC
rnacentral:rRNA from 1 species